rnacentral:rRNA from 1 species
GUGCCAGCCGCCGCGGUAAUACGAAGGGGACUAGCGUUGUUCGGAAUCACUGGGCGUAAAGCGCACGUAGGCGGAUGUGUCAGUCAGGGGUGAAAUCCCGGGGCUCAACCUCGGAACUGCCUUUGAUACAGCACGUCUCGAGUCCGGAAGAGGUGGGUGGAAUUCCUAGUGUAGAGGUGAAAUUCGUAGAUAUUAGGAAGAACACCGGUGGCGAAGGCGGCCCACUGGUCCGGUACUGACGCUGAGGUGCGAAAGCGUGGGGAGCAAACAGGAUUAGAAACCCUGGUAGUCC